AAAAGUGAUGCUGUGUUGGUGCUUUUGGGGAUUUGAAUAGCUCCUAAAAUAUACAGAUUUUUUAAUCAAUUUUUUUUUUUUUGCUGCCUGCUUUUUAGCUCUGCUUGCAACAUUGUUGCAAAGUAGCUAUGGACUCGCUUUCCGGAAUCCUUCCAAGGGGACAGAAGCCCCCGGGCUGGCCACCUCCCCAGCUCGUCUCAAGAGUUCCUGAAAAAAUGCUCCCAGAUGGAGGGACAAAGCACUGAGAACGUGUGUCCUUCAGGUCUGGAGCUUCUUCUGCACCCAAGAGGAGUUGAGGCAAGUUUUAUAAAUAUGAAAUCAGCUGCAAAAAUAAACAGGUCCUCUGAGUUAAUAAGAGGAAAUUGAAUAUAUUAU
rnacentral:lncRNA from 1 species